UUUUUUUUCUUUCUUAAAACACAUUACAACAGUUCAUUGUUCAUCUUCUUCAAUACAGUUUACUGUGCAUCAUCAUCAUCAUCUUCACUAAGUGUCUCGAUCGUGGAACAAUAUGUUCGCAGUUGCUACGGAGAUGAUGAAGCAGUAGCUGCGGCCGGCAAGCGACGGAGCCGCGAUUGCAAUCUCGUGGAGAUAGAAAACCCCAAUCGAAUCAAAACGGAUCUGAACCCUAUAAAAACCCCAAUCUGAUAUGAAGAACAAACAACAAGAACAAUAAAAUUGGAUGAAAGGAUCACACGAAAAGUAAGGAACAAACAAAAAUCACGAUGAAAUCGAACAUAGAAAUACAAAAAACAUGGAUGAAUACCUAAAUUGAAAAUAGAAAAAUAUGGAGAAGAAUAUGAGAGGUACAGCUGGAAGGGUUUUGAUCCUCUUCUCAAGCAAUAAUGAGUAGCUUGAAAGUUUUGAUACUAUACAUCACAGAUUCACAAGCAUACAAAUUAUGGACUGUCGAAGCAUACAAACAUACAAAUUACUAUCACAAAUUUAUGGGUUUAAAUAGUAAUGAAUUAGAUGAUGAAGGUGGGAAAGUUAAAGAAAGUGAUUUAGGUGUUCU
rnacentral:lncRNA from 1 species